GGCUGCUCCGUCACGAAGACGUUCUCACCGCUGCCUUUGUGAAGGAUGCCUGGAACAACAAACAAGUCUUUAUUCUAGAGGAGCUUUUUGGAACAGUUUCCACACACCGACCAACAUGAAGAUCCUGGAUUACUUCAUGAAAAAGUUGAUGCUGAUUGGCUGAUGCACGGGUUCAGUUAACAAAGGAGUUGAACUCGGCGAGACAACACUUCCUGUAAAACAAUCCUUGCUGACAGGUAAAGCAAGUGCCUGACAGCCUAAUGUGAACCACAGGAAGCGCUGUGUGGUCUAAACGCCCUCCCUGCGAGCCCCCCCUUUGACAAUGGCACAUUAAGUGAGAUACACAGUGCGGAAACCUGCAACACAUGGGGAACUGGCUAAAUAUAAACUGGAGAGUAAAGCUGAGGAAAACCGUCUGCAAAGUCUAUGCUCAAUUGUGGGUUUAAAAAAAAAUCAAGGUGUGUACAUUAAACUUACCGCUGCGA